CAACGCUGUCACUGAAGUUGAUACGGCAGUGACAACCUACAAAUAAUUUGUGCUUGUUCAAACAAUGUAUUAUGAAGAAAGGAUUGUGGGAGAUGAUAUGAAUCAUAGUCCAUAUCCUCACCAUAAAAAGAAUUGCAGUUAUGGGAAAAUGUUGAGUCAGAUACUCAGUGUUGUGAGAGAUGUUCUGUUUUUGCACUCUGCAGCCAGAGCCAUCGAAUGCAGCAAAUCACUGACCAGCUUAAAGAUCUACAAAUCAAUGUCAGAACCUAUAAUUUAUUGCAGUGUCCUAAAACCUGUAAGCCAAGAUUUCCUUCCAGUGGACAUCAGGCUAUCUGAGACAAGAAGCUCAUAAACCACCAGAGAAUAUUUAGCAGUGCUAGAUUAUCUCAAGGAAGAGCAUGACAAAAACCAGUUCUUGGAUAAAAUUGCAAAUAUCACAUGACACUACUCUGAAGAGGCUGCUCAUAAGACUGCACAUGUAUAUCUAAAUACGACUAAGAAGAGAACCAUAUAAUUUGAAGUUCACAAAGACGGUGAUCAACAAGCCAGCAGAAUUAAAGAUGGAGCUGUUCUGUGGUGUUUGAAAUGUGUCCAUGCAUUUCCUGCAUAAUUGGAUCCUACCUCAUUAAGGGAAAAUUUUCUUGGAAAGAUGUGAUGCCAGUUCAAAUGUCGUUCCUCAGUGCCACAAAAUAAUGUGGCUGCUCCACAAGAAUAGAGGUCCUGCAGAGCAAGCAGUGUCAGGUCUGUUUUGAGAGUGAGAGCGCUGCUGAGACUUAUGUUGAGAGAAAAACGGAGAGCAUAAUUUUUGCUUAAAGGCAAGAAUAUAUAAUGACAUUUUCCCCCUUUAAUCUGAAACCUGGAGAGGAAAAACAACAGCAUUUUGAAAAAGAGAAUGGACAAAGAGGAGUGAGAAUAACUGGCGUGAUGAGAUGUUUUCAUGACAAGGAUAAAUAGUAAGGGUCACUUGCCUACUUUAUGGGGUCCUACAAGGAUAAGCACAAGACUGUGAAGCAGACAGACAUUGUAUCUUAUAAGAGUGGCUGGACAUGGAAUAUCAGGCUUCUCUCUCAUGUUUGAUAGUAUUAUGAGGACUGCUGGAGCUACAACUCCAUACAAGCCAGAUGUGAACUUAUCAGCCCUGCUGCACAGUGACAUGGCCAGACCAGCAGCUUCACUGUUGACACUUCUCCUCCAGUGCUGUUGCCCAGUGCUUGCCAGGACAUGUAGUAAGAUUACUUUUUUUUGGAGCCUGGAUGGUCUGGAAGCAGAAUGAAGUUAUACUAAUGACUGUGGGUGAGUUCUGGACACUGAAAUAAGAGAAUGACCAAUCCAGAUAGACAAGACUUGAUUUUAUUAAUAAAAUUUGUAUUUUCCUCUUUGAGGUGACAGUUACAAACUUUGGUUCAAAAAUAAAAGAAAAUAUGAACAGCAAGAAGUUGACUUUUGAAAUCUCACUUUUACAUGUAUAAAUGUGCAUAAGAAAAUACCAGUUGGAAACGAGCCAGCAGAAACUAGUACUAUUUAAUUUAACAAUUUAUAAGAAACAGAAACAAACAUUUCUUUUCAAGUCUUACAUAUAUUAUGAAAAAUAAUUACAAAAGGAUUUGUGUUGUAAAGCUAAAAUGUAAUUUCUACUUCCAACUACCUGAAUAAAAUGUUCAGAGGGGAGGCCAAACCAA